UCCGUAGGCGGGCAGCUCAGUCAGUGGUGAAAGUUUGCAGCUCAACUGUAAAAUUGCCAUCGAUACUGGUUGUCUUGAAUUAAUGUGAAGUGGUUAGAAUAUGUAGUGUAGCGGUGAAAUGCAUAGAUAUUACAUGGAAUACCAAUUGCGAAGGCAGAUCACUAACAUUAUAUUGACGCUGAUGGACGAAAGCGUGGGGAGCGAACAGGAUUAGAUACCCUGGUAGUCC
rnacentral:rRNA from 1 species